UACGAGCUGAGAGCUUUGGGUCACCUCCCACCCAUGUUUAUUUUACCUUGUUGCUUCGGCGGGCCCGCCUUAACUGGCCGCCGGGGGGCUUACGCCCCCGGGCCCGCGCCCGCCGAAGACACCCUCGAACUCUGUCUGAAGAUUGUAGUCUGAGUGAAAAUAUAAAUUAUUUAAAACUUUCAACAACGGAUCUCUUGGUUCCGGCAUCGAUGAAGAACGCAGCGAAAUGCGAUACGUAAUGUGAAUUGCAAAUUCAGUGAAUCAUCGAGUCUUUGAACGCACAUUGCGCCCCCUGGUAUUCCGGGGGGCAUGCCUGUCCGAGCGUCAUUGCUGCCCUCAAGCCCGGCUUGUGUGUUGGGCCCCGUCCUCCGAUUCCGGGGGACGGGCCCGAAAGGCAGCGGCGGCACCGCGUCCGGUCCUCGAGCGUAUGGGGCUUUGUCACCCGCUCUGUAGGCCCGGCCGGCGCUUGCCGAUCAACCCAAAUUUUUAUCCAGGUUGACCUCGGAUCAGGUAGGGAUACCCGCUGAACUUAAGCAUAUCA
rnacentral:rRNA from 1 species